rnacentral:rRNA from 1 species
UAUCUCUGUAGAGUCUGCAUAUCAAUAAGCGGAGGAAAAGAAACUAACAAGGAUUCCCCUAGUAACGGCGAGUGAAGCGGGAAGAGCUCAAAUUUGAAAUCUUCAAGGUUUGACCUUGACGAAUUGUAGUUUAAAGAAGUGUUUUCGGUUAGAGGAGUAGUAAAAGUUCUUUGGAAUAGGACAUCAUAGAGGGUGAGAAUCCCGUAUUUGAUUAUUCAUUCUAGCUUUGUGAUACACUUUCAAAGAGUCGGAUUGUUUGGGAAUGCAGUCCAAAAUGGGUGGUAAAUUUCAUCUAAAGCUAAAUAUUGGCGAGAGACCGAUAGCGAACAAGUACCGUGAGGGAAAGAUGAAAAGAACUUUGAAAAGAGAGUUAAACAGUACGUGAAAUUGUCAAAAGGGAAGCGUUUGACACCAGUGUUGUUUUUCCGAAAAUCAAUUAAAAAUUGAUUCAUGCCAGGUUGUAUUGACCUUAUCAGCUUGCAAUUUGGUUUUGGGUCUCUUUUUGAUGCACUUUUCGGUUAACAAGUCAACAUCAAUUUCCUUUGCUGUAAAAAGGUAAGAGGAAGGUGGCUUCAAUUUCGGUUGAAGUGUUUAUAGCCUUUUAUCUCUGCAGUCGGGGAGAUUGAGGUCUGCAGCGUAGAUCCUUCGGGGCUAGAUACAUUUAUGCUAAGUUAUAGCUUUUCAUAGACAACUUGUUGACUAUGUUUAGUCAUGUAGCUUACUCGUAAGUGCUAUUUUACCUACGCUUAGGAUGUUGAAGACUCUACAGAGAUA